UACAGAGGUCCCAAGCGUUGUUCGGAAUUACUGGGCGUAAAGGGCGCGUAGGCGGUGCACUAAGUCAGGCGUGAAAGCCCUGGGCUCAACCCGGGAAUUGCGCUUGAUACUGGUGCGCUUGAAUCCAGGAGAGGUUGGUGGAAUUCCCAGUGUAGAGGUGAAAUUCGUAGAGAUUGGGAAGAACACCGGUGGCGAAGGCGGCCAACUGGACUGGUAUUGACGCUGAGGCGCGAAAGCGUGGGGAGCAAACAGG
rnacentral:rRNA from 1 species